UAGUUUAGUGUCCCUGUGCUCCAUUUUUAUACAGUAUGUGGCAAAUCUCUCUAAACAGGCAAAUUUCACUUUAAACAACUCAAAGCGAUACAGGGAUGCAGGUGAGUGCUGCCAGUUCUCUGACAUCUGUGUGCUAUAAAUACUGAGUGGAAAGAUCUUCAGAAAAAUAAAACUAAGUUUAGUAAACUAUAAACAAGAUGGCCAAGUAUUAUGGUAUAGGCCUACUGAGCUUAAUUGUCUCAGAUUCAAUGUAGAUGAAUGAGUUUGUCUCGUAUCUUCUGUUGCUGGGUGACAAACUGUAUAGGCUGAGCCGCUAUAUGCAAAUUUCCUCCUUUUAUUGGAGAAGGAGAGAGGUGAAGACACAGCUCCAACACAUCUCAAACCAUGAUCUCCUCAUCUCUGUGGUGGAUGCUGCUGCUGUUAGCAGCUAUCUCUUGUGUUUAUUGUGCUGAACUGACUCAGCCUGCAUCCAGUGUUGUCAGGCCUGGUGAGGCUUUGACUCUGUCCUGUAAGGUGUCUGGAUAUUCAUUGACCGAUAGCAGCUACUGCUCUCACUGGAUUCGACAGUCUGCAGGAAAACCUCUGGAAUGGGUUGGAGAGAUAUGCGGUAGCGGUAACACAUAUUAUAAUGAUAAACUAAAAAGUAGAUUUCAGGUUACUAGAGACACAUCCAGCAUCACAGUGACUCUACAAGGACAGAAUAUGUUGAUUGAGGACACAGCUGUGUAUUACUGUGCCCGAGAGUCACAGUGAGACAGACUAAUGACUGCCUUGUUCAAAAACUACAUAAGGGAUUACUCACUCAAUUCACACAGUACACUGUGAAAAAAAUAUGGUUCUUAAAAGGUUAUUUAAUGAUGGUAAAGGUUCUAUUUAGAACCAUGUCUUCUGAAGAACCAUUUUUCUGCUG